CACGUAGGGACCAAGCGUUGUCCGGAUUUAUUGGGCGUAAAGCGCUCGUAGGCGGUUCGGUAAGUCGGGUGUGAAACCUCCAGGCUCAACCUGGAGACGCCACCCGAUACUGCUGUGACUAGAGUCCGGUAGGGGAGCGUGGAAUUCCUGGUGUAGCGGUGAAAUGCGCAGAUAUCAGGAGGAACACCAGCGGCGAAGGCGGCGCUCUGGGCCGGAACUGACGCUGAGGAGCGAAAGCGUGGGGAGCAAACAGG
rnacentral:rRNA from 1 species